rnacentral:rRNA from 1 species
UACGUAGGGUGCAAGCGUUGUCCGGAAUUAUUGGGCGUAAAGAGCUCGUAGGCGGUUUGUCGCGUCUGCUGUGAAAACCCGAGGCUCAACCUCGGGCCUGCAGUGGGUACGGGCAGACUAGAGUGCGGUAGGGGAGAUUGGAAUUCCUGGUGUAGCGGUGGAAUGCGCAGAUAUCAGGAGGAACACCAGUGGCGAAGGCGGCUCUCUGGUCUGUAACUGACGCUGAGGCGCGAAAGCGUGGGGGAGCGAACAGG